rfam:Arthrobacter sp. IHBB 11108, complete genome.
GAAUAUCAACCAUUCACUACGGAUCGUUCGGCACGUACCUGCCGAUGAAGGGAUAGAUAA